ensembl:ncRNA lncRNA:TS20 long noncoding RNA: testis-specific 20
CAAUGGAGGAAAGGAAAGGAAAUUAGUAUUAAGUGAAAUGUAAUGAUGACAACGCCAACUGAAAAUCGCCAGCUGACAAUAAUGAGCUGGCCGGCACAAAAGAUACCGCUUUCCUUAAGCUCCUUUCGACAAUUACAGAGAUGGGGGCUGAUACGGGAAAACCAACGGCGCAGUUAAGCGCAUUUUUCCAAGCGAACUUUUUACUCAAGCGGCGGAGAAAAAGGGAAACCAAUACGCAUAAAUAAUAAAAAGAGCAUCAUUGUGGGCGGGCGGGUGCGAGGGCGCAAGUGAAAACAUAAAUCAUUGACUCUGAAAUGAAAAGCUUUGCGCAACAAGUCGUCGAAACAAUAAAAAACCUAGCCCCACCCUAAAUCCAGCGCGGAAUCCCAACUCUGCCGGUUCAAAGGUGCCGGCGAACAUUUGACCGACAGGAAUGAAAUAUAUGUUAAAUUGAAAAAAAAAAAAAUUAGAAUUAAUGGCCAUGGAAAUGUAAUGCGGGCAGAAGAAAAACUUGAAGCGGCAGAAAUAUGAG